AUUGAACGCUGGCGGCAGGCCUAACACAUGCAAGUCGAGCGGAGCGGCGGACGGGUGAGUAAUGCCUAGGAAUCUGCCUGGUCGUGGGGGAUAACGUCCGGAAACGGGCGCUAAUACCGCAUACUAUCAGAUGAACCUAGGUCGGAUUAGCUAGUUGGUGGGGUAAAGGCCUACCAAGGCGACGAUCCGUAACUGGCCUGAGAGGAUGAGUAGUCACACUGGAACGGAGACACGGUCCAGAGUCCUACGGGAGGCAGCAGUGGGGAAUAUUGGACAAGGGGCGAAAGCCUGAGCCAGCCAUGCCGAGUGUGUGAAGAAGGUCAUCGGAUUGUAAAACACUUUUAGUUGGGAGGCGUUACCAACAGAAUAAGCACCGGCUAACUUCGUGCCAGCAGCCGCGGUAAUAC
rnacentral:rRNA from 1 species